rnacentral:rRNA from 1 species
AACGAACGCUGGCGGCAUGCCUAACACAUGCAAGUCGAACGAUGCCUUCGGGCAUAGUGGCGCACGGGUGCGUAACGCGUGGGAAUCUGCCCUUGGCUUCGGAAUAACAGUUAGAAAUGACUGCUAAUACCGGAUGAUGUCCCCCUGAGAGAUCUUGGGGACCAAAGAUUUAUCGGCCAGGGAUGAGCCCGCGUAGGAUUAGGUAGUUGGUGGGGUAAAGGCCUACCAAGCCGACGAUCCUUAGCUGGUCUGAGAGGAUGAUCAGCCACACUGGGACUGAGACACGGCCCAGACUCCUACGGGAGGCAGCAGUGGGGAAUAUUGGUCAAUGGGGGGAACCCUGAUCCAGCAAUGCCGCGUGAGUGAUGAAGGCCUUAGGGUUGUAAAGCUCUUUUACCAGGGAUGAUAAUGACAGUACCUGGAGAAUAAGCUCCGGCUAACUCCGUG